GUGUCUGUUAGUCAUAUGUUUAUAGCAUAUCAUUUUCCAGGCAUUGUUUAAGAAAUGUGGGGCACGUCAAAAAUAUGGAUCAUCAUCCAAAAAAAGAGGGCAAACAGAGAGGGAGAGGAAGAGAAAGGGAGUGUGGAAGGAACCAAAUUGCAAGCAGGAAAAUGUUACAUCUGGAGCCUCCCAAAGCAAAGCCAUGUAUGGCAGUUUGACUUCAUUAUUACUCUGUUAUAUAUAGGCAGGCUCUCGGCUCUCACUGAGAGAAAGAGAGAGAAAGAGAAACAGAGAAAGGGGUCAGAGGCUAGCUAGUACAGCCAGUCAGCCAGGAGGGAGGUAUUGUUCCAGGCUGCAGAGAGGACUAUUACAUCAAGCUGAAGAUCACAUCUUUUGGACUGGCUGGAGGAAUGACCACCAAGGAGAAUGUGUGGAGAAUACUAACAAAACUCCUGACAAAUGCCCUGGCCAUGAAGAGGAACUGGAGAGGGGCCAAUGGGAUGCAGGCAUUCCAACCGCUCACCCUGUAAGGCGUAGUUCUCAGUGCUAUCUGGCGAAACCACCAUAGAACCAAAGCUUCUGAUGGUGAAAUUGAGAAAUACAUCAAGAGGUGGAUGCAGCUGGCCUCUGACUGAGACGAAGGGAGAAAGAAGAGAACGCGACUGAGGGGAGAAGAAGACCAGAGCGGAGUAGAGGAGUGAUGUCACUACACCCUUCACUAUGCCCUACCCACUAAGCACAAUAACAAGGGAAUGCUGUUACCAUAACAAAACCAAUUUCGCUAAGAGGAAAUCUUGGUCCGUUUUAUUUUUACUAUGCAAUGGGUGCUAAAAUAAAUGCUUUUUAUCUUUUACAUGUUUUUUGUUGUUGAAGUAUGAUGUUUUUACACAGUUGCAACUUUAUUUGGUCCUUAUAAGCCUAUGCUGUCUUUGCCUACGAUGCAAUUGUCACCACUGAAAACCUUCAUGCAGAAUUUGGCUAGAUAUGCACUACAUAUACAAAAGUAUGUGGACAGCCAUUAAAAUUAGUAGAUCCCUGCCCCGCUCCCUGCCCCAAUGCAUAGUGCCAACUGUAAAGUUUGGUAGAGGAGGAAUAAUGGUCUGGGGCUGUUGUUCAUGGUCCGGGCUAGGCCGCUUAGUUCCAGUAAAGGGAAAUCAUAAUGUACAGCAUAGAAUUACAUUCUAGACAAUUAUGUGCUCCAACUUUGUGGCAACAGUUUGGGGAAGGGCCUUUCUUGUUUCAACAUGACAAUGCUCCUGUGCACAAAUCAAGGUCCAUAUAGAAAUGGUUUGCUGAGAUCGCUGCGGAAGAACUUGAAUGGCCUGCACAGAGCCAUGACCUCAACCCCAUCACUGUGGAAGAACUUGAUUGGCCUGCAUAGAGCCCUGACCUCAACUCCCACUAACACUCUUGUGGCUGAAUGGAAGCAAGUCCACACAGCAAUAUUGCAACUUCUAGUGGAAAGCCUUCCCAGAAGAGUGGAGGCAGUUAUGGCAGCAAAGGGGGGACCAACUCCAUAUUAUUGCCCAUGAUUUUGGAAUGAGAUGUUCGAUGAGCAGGUGUCCACAUUCUUUUGGUCAUGUAGUGUAUUUUCUUAUAUUCACUGACUGGACAUAUGACAUGUUGUGGAAUAGGACCGUCAUUGUGAGAUUUUUUUCAUAAGGUACUUUACUACAACCAUCAAAGGUUGCUUGUUCAAACCCUGACAUCCGUCUUAUAACUACCUAAGCAGUUUUCAAAAAGAAAACCCUGAGACAGUCAUCACUUAGAUGUAUGAGGCCAUGCACAUUAUUCACCAAAUUCUCUGUACCAUAAAACUGGCCAAAAUGCUCUACAAAAGACACUGUUACAAUUAUGUUGAAAAACUGCAGCUUCCAUGGCCCCACAGCAAAGUUGAUAUAGCAGUGAACGUUCAUAAUUUUUUAAACCACCACCAGAGAGAGAUUGAUGUCAAUGGUAUUGGUGUUAAGUUUUUAGUUUUUAGUUGAAGUCACAGGCCAUGCUGGAGACUGUAGUUUAUAUUUUGGGCUCUACUCCCUACUCCCUAUGGGAUUUUUAAAAUGAAAUGUGAUAUCUUUCCUGUUAAAAUAAAAAUAAUAAAAUAUCAUUCUGAGCAAUGAGUAAA
ensembl:lncRNA